rnacentral:rRNA from 1 species
UACGGAGGGUGCGAGCGUUGUCCGGAAUCAUUGGGCGUAAAGGGCGCGUAGGUGGCGGGACAAGCGUGCGGUGAAAGCCUGGGGCUCAACCCCGGGUCGGCCGUGCGAACUGUUUUGCUUGAGCACUGUAGAGGCAGGCGGAAUUCCGGGCGUAGCGGUGGAAUGCGUAGAGAUCCGGAAGAACACCGGUGGCGAAGGCGGCCUGCUGGGCAGUAGCUGACACUGAGGCGCGACAGCGUGGGGAGCAAACAGG